GAAUCAGCUUUCUGUUUACUGUGGGCAAUGGCUGUGUUUUCUUUUUGAUGUCCUUUGCAGUGGAUCACAGCUACCUGCUGAGGUGAGUAGCUUGCUUUCCUGGUAGAUGGCUUUACGUACAUGCACAGUAGCAAAGGUGUACUUGCUGUCACUGUAAAUGUUAAUACGUUUUUUCUACUUUAUUGGAGAGCCUGAGUGAGGGCGAUCAAUUCAGCCUUUUGUGCGGAGGUGUUCGCUGGUAAAGCUUGAGCUUACAACACAUCUGUCUCCGUGGUAACAGCUGCACUGGCUUUUCAUACUUCCUGCUUGAGGAAGCUGCUACUGUCUGUGAACACGGAGGCAUCUGCCUCUUCUAGGGGCACAUCUUGAAGAUCAGAGCAGCCAGUUUUGAUAGUUUCUAACAGUUCUUGACAGUCAUGAGCAGGAAUAGUGCAGUCUGAGUCAGGAAGUAGUGUAGCUGGAUUGAAACACUUUGAGGGAGAGAAAGUCAAACGAGGCUGAUCUAACAGUAAACUUUGAUACUGCAAGAUGCGAGCAUUUGACAUCUAUUUGCCAGAAGCAUUUUGUAGUAAGGUCUUUAUGGCAUGAAGAGCUGUAAGGGUUAAAUUUUGGCUUAGAGUUAACUUAUCAUCUUCUUGGGCCAGGCUUGCUAUAGCCGCUAAGGCUCGCAGACAACUUGGCCAUCUACAGGCCACAGGAUCUAGCCUCUUAGAUAGACCACUGGGCAUCUUUAGGGUAUUAGAGUCUGAGUAAGGCACGUCUUUAGCAACUCUUUGGCUUUUAUGGAGACAUUGGGGAGGGCUAAAGCAGGGGCUUCAGUUAAUGCUAAAUUAACGGGAUAUUUCAUUCUGUACUUCUUGGAUAGCUGCCACUAAGAUUUUUGUUUGUCUUUUGAAUGCUUUAUCAGCAGCCUUUUCAGCUGCCUGUGUUGCUUGUUUUUGUUUUUUAAACUUUUGAUGGUCAAAAACUUUUUGGGCUAUUUCUGAAAGCUGACUGAUAUUUAUUCUAGCAAAGCUUUCUAGUUUUUGGAGUUUCUUUUUAAUAUCCGGGGCUGCCUGAGCCACAAAUGCUAAAUUAAGAGCACGGCUAUUUUCGGGAGCUGCCGGGUCAAAAGGGGUGUAAGUCUGAUAAGCCUCCUGGAGGCGCUCUAAAAACGUUCUUGGUGACUUAUCGGGCCUUUGGACAACUUCGGUCGUCUUAGACAAGUUUAUGGGUUUCUGAGCGGCUCUUUUAAUACUUGCGAGGAGAUACCGGUGAAAAUCGUCUAAAGCUCCCUUUCUACUUGAGGAAUUUGGGUCCCAGUUAGGCUGGGUAGAGGGAAAGACCUCCUCAAGGAGGUCUCUAGCUUCUCCUUCCGGUCCACUGGCUGAUGUGAGGAAGUACUUUUUGGCUUCUUUUCAGAUACGUUCUUUCUUUUCAGAGGUGAAAAGGGUUAAAAGGAGCUGUUGGCAAUCAUCUUAGACAGACAAGGGGAGUGGUUCCUGUGAUGGGAUCAGUCAGAUGCCUGCCUGGCCGCUCCCCCUGAGGGGACUUGGGCUCCUCUUAGCAUUGGCAGGCCGGUAUAAACUUCCGGCUCAGAUCGAGCUAUGCCUGAUGCUGCCUUAAGCCUUAUGAGGUCGCCAAGGAACCGCAGAAACUCCUGGAGGGCAGAGCUGUGUCUGCCAUCUUCAUCAUUGCAUUACCACCACCCAGCACAGUGCCUGGCACAAAAGAGUUGCUCAAUAAAUAAAUCCGGAUGAAUGGAUAAAUACAUGGAUAGGCACUUUGAACUACAGAUGAGUUUAAAUACUUUGUGUUUUUCUUAGUCAAACAUGUGCAAUUAAGCAUGUGAUAAAUGAUAUGAUGACCACA